rnacentral:rRNA from 1 species
UACGUAGGGUGCGAGCGUUAAUCGGAAUUACUGGGCGUAAAGUGUGCGCAGGCGGCCGCGCAAGUCGAGUGUGAAAGCCCCGAGCUUAACUUGGGAAUUGCGCUCGAAACUACGUGGCUGGAGUGUGGCAGAGGAAGGUGGAAUUCCAGGUGUAGCGGUGAAAUGCGUAGAGAUCUGGAGGAACACCGAUGGCGAAGGCAGCCUUCUGGGCCGACACUGACGCUGAGGCACGAAAGCGUGGGGAGCAAACAGG